CAGCCGGUGAAAGUCCGGUCCAAGGAGGUGUCGGUACACCUUGGUAGCUACCCGGGAGACGGCGAGGGCGACCGACCCGUCGAAGCCUCGGGGACAGAGAUCCGCCUUGGGCGGGUCAGCGAGCGUACGGGCCGCAACGCGA
rfam:Candidatus Rokubacteria bacterium GWC2_70_16 gwc2_scaffold_36696, whole genome shotgun sequence.